rnacentral:rRNA from 1 species
GAUGAACGCUGGCGGCGUGCUUAACACAUGCAAGUCGAACGGACUCAUAUUGAAACCUAGUGAAGUAUGAGUUAGUGGCGGACGGGUGAGUAACGCGUGGAAAACCUGCCGUAUACUGGGGGAUAACACUUAGAAAUAGGUGCUAAUACCGCAUAAGCGCACAGCUUCGCAUGAAGCAGUGUGAAAAACUCCGGUGGUAUACGAUGGUUCCGCGUCUGAUUAGCUAGUUGGCGGGGUAACGGCCCACCAAGGCAGCGAUCAGUAGCCGGCCUGAGAGGGUGAACGGCCACAUUGGGACUGAGACACGGCCCAA